UACGUAGGGUGCAAGCGUUGUCCGGAAUUAUUGGGCGUAAAGAGCUUGUAGGCGGUCUGUUACGUCUGCUGUGAAAACCCGGGGCUUAACCCUGGGCUUGCAGUGGAUACGGGCAGACUAGAGGCAGGUAGGGGAGAAUGGAAUUCCCGGUGUAGCGGUGAAAUGCGUAGAUAUCGGGAAGAACACCCGUGGCGAAGGCGGUUCUCUGGGACGGUACUGACGCUGAGGAGCGAAAGCGUGGGGGAGCGAACAGG
rnacentral:rRNA from 1 species